ensembl:lncRNA
ACGGUUUGUUCCGGACCUGGCUCUGGCUGAACCCUGGUGAACUUCCCCCGCAUCCCCUUCCCCGCCGGAGAGCUUGCAGCCAUGAACUUCCCGUGCCUGACCCAAGCAUCUCCGAGAGGUGUGAUCUGAGCUGCAGCCGGAGGAAGGAGAUGGUCGACCCGCCCCUGGCUCCCGCUCAGCCUCCCUAAUCAGUGCAGGAAUGUCUCUGGAUGAGAGGUCCUGUGUGCUGUGGUCCAUGAAGACCCUGUGGUCUAUGGAGGUCUUGCAGAACCACUGCUGUUGCCAGGUGGCCGUGCAGCAGACAUAUAUUUCAGUGGAGGUGGCAAAGAGUAAGGGGGAAAUGUGGAAUGAUGCAGGAGCUGUAUAAUGGAAUGGAACAAAAUUUCUGGUACAUACGUAUGUUUAUAUAUAACAUCAUGCAGAAAGACCCUAUGCAAGGAGUAUGGAAGAGAGGAUGGAUCUUGCUGCUCAUGCCCCAGACCAGCCUCCUCCUUGUUGCAGACUGUAAUAAGCCAUCGCUGGAGGAUGGUAGAGAGGUUCUUUGAAAAUCUCUCCAAGAUGCUUCCAAUAAAAGAAUUGUGAAACUAUUCCCAUCGGUGGCCUGUCCUCUACCCACAACAGUGACAGAGAAGACUGUUUGAUUUCCAUCAGCAGAAUAAUAUGAGUGUGGACGCCACUGCCACAAAUUUAAGAAGGAUCUCCAGUUGCUGCUUGCCAAAGAAACAGUGCAUGGUCUGGGGGUUUUCAGCCCUCAAGUGGAGAUGCCGCUGGUGUGAUGACAGCUUGAGCAGCAUGAAGCUCCAGAAGAGCUUGAACAGAAAGGGCUGUGUCUGCAAAGAGGUGGGUCAGCUGUGUCUCUGGAGAGCUGCAUGCAGAGCCAGACCCGACCUCUUCUCAGUGAGGUGGAAGCAAAUGUUGGUGCUUUGGGUCUGUCCACAUCUACAAGCAUGCGUGAGGUCCCUUGCUGUGGUUCAGCUGAUGUGGGGCAUCUUGCUCAACAGUUCGAGAGUCUCAGCUUGCAAAUAUUGAAGGAGAUAAAUGGUUAAAAGAAAACUAAAACAACCAUACCCAAAAUAAACAAACCAACCCCAAACAAACAAAUGAAACCUCAAAACAAACAAAGAACUCAAAACAAACAACCAAAACCUUCCCUACCCCCUCUCCCCCCCAAAAAAAUGAAGGAAGGAACAAGGAACCCUGGUGAUCACAGCAGGAUCUGCAAGGCUCACACUGGAGAGGACAGGUAUGACAGGGGCACGUUUAGCACCUGGCUGCUCUUUACAUCACAGGGCAGAAAUAUGAAAAAUAUGAAAUAUGCAGCAGGGUUGGAUGAAAAGGAAAAUGUAAUGAGAGUAGGAGAAAGAAUGCCACAUGCUCCAACCGCAUCUGAACUUGGCAGCAGCAGCCCAGGGAAGCCCAUGUAAAUCCUAGAAGCAUGUUAAAGGCAUUUUCACCCCACAAAGACUGACAUGCAUGAAAAGUAUUGUUUCAACAAUGUCAGUCAAGAGCCUGGAGAAAUAAUUUGCUAAUAUACUGCCUAGAAGCCCAACAUGGCUAAUUGGAGGGAUGUUCACAUCUUGGAAUGGAGACUACUUGGGAACAGUCUUCCAAUGGGGUAACGAAGUGCAAAGAAGUAAAGGCUGUGUGAACAAGAUGGUGUGUCGAUGCUGCAUUUACACAGCAAAGUGAGAGAUUUCCUCAAGGAGCACAGAGAAAACAUGACAGCAGAGAGAAAACACAUGUACAUGAAGCAUAGGCAAUACAACGUAAGGACAGACUGAGGGAUGUUGUAGAGAAAGACAUAACUGAAAACGCUCGGAAUAUUGCCUAUGUCAUGUGCAAAGGAAGUUAUUAUCCAGCAGCACUGUGCCCAGGCAGAGCAAGCAUUCCUUCCAGUAAGGUUUAGGAGAUGAAUCCUCACUUCUGGGGGCAGCGUGGUCAUCCUUUGGGUUUCUUCUUGGCCUGUCCUUUGUGUACUGUAGACACAUCAAGAUCUGCAAAGGCUUAGCUACGCUGCUAUUUUUCCCUUAAAAAAAUAUACUCUCUAAUUUAUUGAAUUACAGGAUACAUAUCAUUUUGCAUUAAAGGGGAUAUAGUGAAAUGCAUUCAUAUUCAAUUUGGCCGUUGCAGCAGAAUCACAGAAUCACAGAAUGGCCCGGGUUGGAAGGGACCUCCAGGAUCAUGAAGCUCCAAACCCAGCAGGAAAUACAACAAUAUCUUCCUAAAAUAAGGCAUUAUAAGUCUCUGUCAGCUCCCUCAAGUUGGCUUAGAAAUAGCUUAUGGACCCAUUUCCCCCAAAGAUCUGUGGAGGAUGGAUGAAUGGGAAGCAUCUGUAGGUGAGGAACUGUGUUACACAGGAAACAUUGCUCUGUCUUUAUGCUCAGCCUUUUUUUUUCUUACAUUGCAGAUCUGAAAAGCCAUAAAGAAAAGUAUAAUUUGCCUGAUUCUUCUGGCUAGCUGGGAGAAUGAAUGAGCCCCACUGGUUCCUGAGGUGCAUUGGCCAUGCUGAUGGCAGGUUUGCUAAAUCUCAGGGGAGGGAUGCAGCUGUGACAGCGGGCAUCCAGGGUCAGGGGGGACACAUUUUGUCUUGGUGGAGCUUCAGCAGGUGGUGGAUUGAACCCAAGCAGGAUACGGAGGUCACAAGUCCAGGAUAACUUGCAAGUCCAACCCAAUCCAUGGGCAGUUCACCAGAGAACCAUGGAAUCCAGCCAUAAAGGCUGGAAAAGGCCUCUAGGAUCCCAAGUCCAACCCCAGCCCACCCCAUCAUGCCCACUAGCCAUGUCCCCCCAGUGCCACAUCUCUUGAUGAGAUCUUCCUGAACACCUCCAGGGAUGGGGACUCCACCACCAUCCUGGGCAGCUUCUUCUAAUAACUCACCACCCUUUGCACUACUUUCCAUUCUGCUUCCAGUAAGAUAGAGACAGAAAGUGGAGCUGAGCCUACUGAAGAACGAAGGACAGCCAACAUGUACUAGGUGCUCAUGCUUGAUGCCUGCAGGCCAGACUUUCUCUUGCAUGUUUAAAUUGCCGUGGCUUUGAAGGAGGAGCUGUGCUGUGCACUGUCCCAGCACCCACCAGGACGUCUAUUGGGACAGCUGCUCUCCUAUCCGCCCACCAAAUGGCUGAAUUCUCCAGCAAGGACAAAGACCUUAUUUAUGCUCAUGCCUCUCAAAGUACAUAUAUUUUAGUCCUGGAGGAUUUACUGGCAAUAAAGUUUUCUUCUGAGAUUCCUAAAUCACGAGGUACUUAGGCUCUGCAGACCAUGAUGCCCAUGGACAAUAUUUGCUCUGUAGCUUGACACAUCUUUCUGCCUUAGAAUAACAGAAAAACAUGCAGCCAGGACCUGCCCAGCUGCGAGGACUCUAAAUCACCUGCUUUUUCUUUGUUUCCAGAGGGGCAGGUGCAGCUCAGAUUAUCUGCAAGCUAUUUUAUGACUUAACAACACGGGCUUUAAUGCAGUUAGAGAUGCCUUUAUUCAUUCUUACACUCCUGAGUAUUUUUGUGUAAACAUUUUUCAUCUGUGGCAAGCCAGUUUGUUUGUUGUGUUUUGUCAUGUCAGAGCAGACUGUGAUUA